AAAUUGAAGAGUUUGAUCAUGGCUCAGAUUGAACGCUGGCGGCAGGCCUAACACAUGCAAGUCGAGCGGUAGCACAGAGAGCUUGCUCUCGGGUGACGAGCGGCGGACGGGUGAGUAAUGUCUGGGAAACUGCCUGAUGGAGGGGGGUAACUACUGGAAACGGUAGCUAAUACCGCAUAACGUCGCAAGACCAAAGUGGGGGACCUUCGGGCCUCAUGCCAUCAGAUGUGCCCAGAUGGGAUUAGCUAGUAGGUGGGGUAACGGCUCACCUAGGCGACGAUCCCUAGCUGGUCUGAGAGGAUGACCAGCCACACUGGAACUGAGACACGGUCCAGACUCCUACGGGAGGCAGCAGUGGGGA
rnacentral:rRNA from 1 species